rnacentral:rRNA from 1 species
AGUGAACGCUGGCGGUAGGCCUAACACAUGCAAGUCGAACGGCAGCACAGGAGAGCUUGCUCUCUGGGUGGCGAGUGGCGGACGGGUGAGGAAUACAUCGGAAUCUGCCCAGUCGUGGGGGAUAACGUAGGGAAACUUACGCUAAUACCGCAUACGACCUUCGGGUGAAAGAGGGGGAUCGCAAGACCUCUCGCGAUUGGAUGAGCCGAUGUCGGAUUAGCUAGUUGGCGGGGUAAUGGCCCACCAAGGCGACGAUCCGUAGCUGGUCUGAGAGGAUGAUCAGCCACACGGGAGCUGAGACACGGUCCAGACUCCUACGGGAGGCAGCAGUGGGAAAUAUUGGACAAUGGGCGCAAGCCUGAUCCAGCCAUACCGCGUGGGUGAAGAAGGCCUGCGGGUUGUAAAGCCCUUUUGUUGGGAAAGAAAUCUUUCAGGCUAAUACCCUGGGAGGAUGACGGUACCCAAAGAAUAAGCACCGGCUAACUUCGG